UACAGAGGUCUCGAGCGUUGUUCGGAUUCAUUGGGCGUAAAGGGCGCGUAGGCGGCGGGGUAAGUCUGGUGUGAAAUCUCGGAGCUCAACUCCGAAAUUGCACUGGAUACUGCUCUGCUAGAGGGCUGGAGAGGAGAUCGGAAUUCACGGUGUCGCAGUGAAAUGCGUAGAUAUCGUGAGGAAGACCAGUGGCGAAGGCGGAUCUCUGGACAGCUCCUGACGCUGAGGCGCGAAGGCUAGGGGAGCAAACGGG
rnacentral:rRNA from 1 species